rnacentral:rRNA from 1 species
GACGUAGGAUGCGAGCGUUGUUCGGAAUUAUUGGGCGUAAAGCGUGCGUAGGCGGCUACUUAAGUCUGGUGUUAAAGCUAGGGGCUCAACCCCUGUGUUGCACUGGAAACUGGGUAGCUUGAGUGCGGUAGGGGAAGGUGGAAUUCCGAGUGUAGCGGUGAAAUGCGUAGAUAUUCGGAAGAACACCGGUGGCGAAGGCGACCUUCUGGGCCGCCACUGACGCUGAGGCACGAAAGCGUGGGGAGCAAACGGGAUUAGAUACCCCGGUAGUCCACGCUGUAAACGAUGAUCACUAGGUGUUGCGGGUAUCGACCCCCGCAGUGCCGUAGCUAACGCGUUAAGUGAUCCGCCUGGGGAGUACGGUCGCAAGACUGAA